GCUAAGCAUCCAUGGCUGAAUGGUUAAUGCACCCAACUCAUAAUUGGCGAAUUCUUAGGUUCAAUUCCUACUGGAUGCACGCCG
rnacentral:tRNA from 1 species